rnacentral:rRNA from 1 species
UACGUAGGGUGCAAGCGUUGUCCGGAAUUAUUGGGCGUAAAGAGCUCGUAGGCGGUCUGUCGCGUCUGCUGUGAAAUCCCGGGGCUCAACCCCGGGCUUGCAGUGGAUACGGGCAGACUAGAGUUCGGUAGGGGAGACUGGAAUUCCUGGUGUAGCGGUGAAAUGCGCAGAUAUCAGGAGGAACACCGGUGGCGAAGGCGGGUCUCUGGGCCGAUACUGACGCUGAAGCGCGACAGCGUGGGGAGCAAACAGG